rnacentral:rRNA from 1 species
UACGGGGGGAGCAAGCGUUGUUCGGAUUUACUGGGCGUAAAGGGCGCGUAGGCGGCCUCUGCAAGUCGACUGUGAAAUCUCCGGGCUUAACCCGGAAAGGUCAGCCGAUACUGCAGGGCUAGAGCGCAGAAGGGGCAACUGGAAUUCUCGGUGUAGCGGUGAAAUGCGUAGAUAUCGAGAGGAACACCUGCGGCGAAGGCGGGUUGCUGGGCUGACACUGACGCUGAGGCGCGAAAGCUAGGGGAGCGAACGGG